rnacentral:rRNA from 1 species
GACGAACGCUGGCGGCGUGCUUAACACAUGCAAGUCGAACGGAAAGGCCCUGCUUUUGUGGGGUGCUCGAGUGGCGAACGGGUGAGUAACACGUGAGUAACCUGCCCUUGACUUUGGGAUAACUUCAGGAAACUGGGGCUAAUACCGGAUAGGAUCUCCUGCUGCAUGGUGGGGGUUGGAAAGUUUCGGCGGUUGGGGAUGGACUCGCGGCUUAUCAGCUUGUUGGUGGGGUAGUGGCUUACCAAGGCUGUGACGGGUAGCCGGCCUGAGAGGGUGACCGGGGUCAAUGGGACUGCGAGAGGGAGCAGUAUGGUACGGGCGGCAGCAGUGGGGAAUCUUGCGGAGUGGGGGGGAGCGUGAGGUAGCAACGCCGGGAGCGUGAUGCUGGCUUUCGGGUUAUAAACCAAUUUCGACGGUGCUGAGCAGUGCGUGACGGUAACGGGUAAAGAAGCCACGGCUAACUACGUG